GCCUGGCUGGCUCAGUUGGUGGAGCAUGUGACUCUUGAUCUCAGGGUCAUGAGUUCAAGCUCCAUGUUGGGCA
rfam:Ailuropoda melanoleuca scaffold1490_100, whole genome shotgun sequence.